UUUCCUCCGGGUGCUCCGGUUUCCCCCACAAGUCCAAAGACAUGCGGUAUAGGGGAAUUGGACAACCGAUGUCCAUGUCAAAAGAGCGUCUAUUCUUUAAGCUCUCUUUACUUACCUUGGUGAGGAUGAGGCAUGCCUGGUGAAAGAAUACAUGAGCAACCAAAAAGAAGAAUUUUUGAAGGACCUGACAAACACCACCAUGGCCAUAUGUGUCAUCAAAAAGGAAAGAGGAGAUUAUGAGGACAUUGGCAUCGUUGUGGAUGGAACAGUGAUUAUUGAACAGAUAAAAUCUGUUGCACAAGCCUGUGCACUGAUGUUGGGGGCAAUUUAUGUGCUUGAUUUGGCCUACCCAAAAGAACUCAAAUACUAUUUGGAGUUUGCCCAAAAAGUACUUGUGCAAAUGAACUCUGACAAGCUCUCCUCAAAGGUUCUCAUACUGGAAAACAGUGUGAUACUGUAAUUUUAAGCAUUGAAGUGUUGAUAAAUGCUCAACAACCAAAUGUAUAUCAUAUACAAAUUGCAGUUUAGUGUAGGAAUUGUUUAAUAAGUGAAUUCAGUUUUCUUUGUGUGCAAAAUUAAUUAGCUGUAGGAACUUGUUUUAAAUGGUGUGUGUGUGUGUGCGCGUGUGUGCGCGUGUGUGUGCGUGCGUGCGUGCGUGCGCGCGUGUGUGUGUGUGUGUGUGUGUGUGUGUGUGUGAGAGAGAGAGAGAGAGAGAGAGAGAGAGCAUGUGCAUUCUAUAAACUUUGUAUUUAUUCCAUUUCAUACAACUUGUACUUGCUCAAUAUGUUGAGUUAAUUUUUUAAGUUAAUUAGUUGAUUAUUUUGUGUAUUGGGGUGUGUGUAUCAUAAGGAUUGCAGUUUGCUCUAAGACUUCAUAUAGUUUUCUUUAAUGUGUUGGUUUAAAUUAAAUGUGCUGUACAAACUGUUUAUUGUUUUAUGGUGUGCUGCUAAAGCAUUUAUAGGCAGUGAUUUAUGUUUUGUUAAAAAAUGCAUCUUAAAAAGUCAUUAAAAUGAAUUCAAAACAAA